rnacentral:rRNA from 1 species
AGCGAACGCUGGCGGCAGGCUUAACACAUGCAAGUCGAGCGGGCAUCCUUGUGGUGUCAGCGGCAGACGGGUGAGUAACGCGUGGGAACGUGCCCUUCGGUUCGGAAUAACUCAGGGAAACUUGAGCUAAUACCGGAUACGUGCGAGAGCAGAAAGGUUUAUCUGCCGAAGGAUCGGCCCGCGUCUGAUUAGCUAGUUGGUGAGGUUAUGGCUCACCAAGGCGACGAUCAGUAGCUGGUCUGAGAGGAUGAUCAGCCACACUGGGACUGGGACACGGCCCAGACUCCUACGGGAGGCAGCAGUGGGGAAUAUUGGACAAUGGGGGCAACCCUGAUCCAGCCAUGCCGCGUGAGUGAUGACGGCCUUAGGGUUGUAAAGCUCUUUUAUCCGGGACGAUAAUGACGGUACCGGAGGAAUAAGCCCCGGCUAACUUCGUG